AUGAUCUCAACCGCAUGGUUAGUAACUUAUUAUUGGGGUGCCGAGGAAGGAAAGAGAAAAACCCAUUGGUAUGCAUGGCAUAAGAUGACAAGGCCCACAUCUCUGGUGGGUCUUGGGUUUAGGGACUUUCGGCUAUUUAACCAGGAUCUACUAGCUAGGCAAGCUUGGUGAGGGCUAAUUCACCCAAACAGCUUAUGUGUGCAAUUAUUAAAGGCAAAGUAUUACCCAAGUGGUAGAUUGGAGGACACCGUAUUUUCCGGAAAUCCAUCACCAACAUGGCAAGGCAUUAGUCAUGCUCUGGAAUUAUUGAAAAAGGGCAUUGUAUGGAGAAUUGCAAAUGGGCAAAAUGUACGAAUAUGGAGGGACCGAUGGCUGGUACGUGAACCUACUGGUGGUUUGAUAACACAGAAGGGGAGGUGCCGAUUUAAGUGGGUUUCCCAGUUGCUUGAUCACAGUGGUGCUUGGGAUAUGGCAAAGCUUCAGCAGUUUUUUCUUCCUAUUGAUGUUUGUGAGAUCACCAAGAUCCGGACUUCACCUAGAAUGGGGGAAGAUUUCAUCGCUUGGGUUCUAGAAAAGUCGGGAGUAUUUUUUGUGAGAAGUGCAUACCGGCUAGCCGCGGAUGAGCAGUAUAAUUCUUUGAUUGCCUCCUCCAGUACACAUCCUGAUGGAGCUCGAGAUGGCUGGAAUGCAAUAUGGUCAAGCCCAGCCCCUCCGAAAGUGCUUUCUUUUGCAUGGCGACUAGCAACAAACUGUCUACCAACAUGGAGUAAUAAGAAGAGAAGAACUCUGGAGGUUGUGGGCACAUGCCUCGUGUGCAAAACCACAGAUGAGGACACUUUUCAUGCUUUUUGUGCAUGCAUCAAUGCACGGCACCUAUGGCAUGCUAUGACUACUAAAUGGGAACUCCCGGACAUAACAAAAAUCCUUCCAACCGGUGAGGAGUGGUUCGUUCAACUAGCCUGUAGACUGGAAGAGUCUAUGCGAGUUAGACUAAUGAUGCUUCUGUGGCGUAUUUGGUAG
rnacentral:rRNA from 1 species